GAAUGUAGGUGAGAUCCUUCCUAGUUCGCUGAGGCUUGUUACUGCUGUGGUGAAUAUUGACAAAGCUGGUACAAGCCGUCUGAGCUGUUGUUGGAGAAAGGCCGUCUAAAACAGAAGCGGAGGUUCCAGAGCGUGAUUUUGCCAGCUGAAGGCAGUUUACAUUCGGAGUUCCGCGGACACUUCCGAGGCUGUAAAAAUGUCGGAGCCACGAAAGCCUCCAAAGAGCUGCUGCUCUCCUUGCUGCUGCUGCUGCUGCUGCCGCCCCUGCCCGUGCUGCAGCUGCUACUCCUGCUGCUGCUGCUGCUGCUUGUUGCUGAUUGUUGCUGUUGCUGGCUGCUGUUUGCUGUUUGCGGCUGGCUGGAUUGCCGGAUUGCUGAUUGCCAGUCGGAGAAAUCCCGAGGAUGAAGAUCAAACUUGCCCCAAGGAACAAGACGACCCUAAGAAGUAGUCUAAUGAUUUCAAUACCCCCUUUCCCCCUCUGACCUUUCUCUCUUACCUUAUGUUGGGGGAUUGGAAGGGUGGCAGCAAAAAGAACCCAAUAAAGUAGCCAAAAGUAAAGUUA